UACGAAGGGGGCUAGCGUUGCUCGGAAUCACUGGGCGUAAAGGGCGCGUAGGCGGCCGAUCAAGUCAGGGGUGAAAGCCUGUGGCUCAACCACAGAAUUGCCUUUGAUACUGUUCGGCUCGAGACCGGAAGAGGUAAGUGGAACUGCGAGUGUAGAGGUGAAAUUCGUAGAUAUUCGCAAGAACACCAGUGGCGAAGGCGGACUCACUGGCCCGGUACUGACGCUGAGGUGCGAAAGCGUGGGGAGCAAACAGG
rnacentral:rRNA from 1 species